GAAACAUGGAAGGUCUGUGAUAGAGCACAUAUGGAAGGAAACAUACUUUGGGAUAAGGCUAAAAUUUCAAUCCCCCAUAGCUUUUGCCUUCAAAAACUGAUCAUAAGAAGGCCAAACUUUGAAGUCUGUAGACGUAAGUCGCCAAGUAUGUUGGGCGGUCAUGUCCCCCACUACUUCCCCAAUGGGUCGUGAACUAGUUGGUGCCUUUUCCAUGAUACCAUCCAACUACAGCACUGUGUUGUUCCAAAACAGUCAAUUUGUCCAUCAUUCAUCGCCAUGGAAUUUAUUAGGUGUAAAGCAAGGUCUUUGUAGCUACUUUUCACCUUCGGGUCGGGUGGUGGGGGCUUAAGGAGAACAAACGAGAGUCGGUGAGAAGGGCUUUUCUGGUGGAAUUUGGAGGCAGCAGGCCUUUUUACAGGCGCAGUUUAGACUAAACCUGCAUUAGUCUAGUCGGUGAUAUUCUCUCUCGGGUACCCCUUAUAGGGUGGGAAAUAGAAUUUCAUAUCAUAUGGUUGUGAAAAAGGGUUGUGACUUUGUUGAUUAUAUAGCAUGCUACUAGUGGUCGAGUUUGAAAUUAGGGUUGCACAUGCAAUCAUCGAUUCCAGAUGAUUGACAACACUGUGUAAAUUUGUUCAAGAAUAUCUCCACUUCUGGCAAAUGAUGAUUUGCAUAUCUA